UGGCUGCCUGUGCUGUCUGUCCCAGGGAAGCAGGCAGGGAAGGAUUAAAGUGCCUCCCUGUCUGCAAUUCUCUGGGCCAGAAGAGCAGCAGCCCAGCAGCUUUGGUGGCCAGGGAGGCAGAUUAACGCUUCCCUGCUCACUCCCCUAGAAAGAACAGAAUGGGCAGCCACAAGAAUGUGGGUCUUAUGGAGGUCAGGGUCAUCUUUCCCAUCCAUCUGUGUCCUGAUGCUAUGGCAGCAGUUAAGUGUGCUAGCUGGAAGGUCAAGACCAGCACCAUGAAUUGCACCCAGGAAGCUACUGAGAGCCACUGCAGACUCCGGAGCACUGGAGUAAUGUGCUUUUGUCAAUCUGCCUGCUUGUUCCUGUCAAAAGGUAAGCUGCUGCAUUCAAACUAGCUGCAAAUUCCAGACAGUCCUCAAGGUAGGUGCACAUAGACCACAUUGCAGUAGUCUAGCCUCAGUGUUACAAAAACAUGGAUGAUGGUGGCCAGAUCUGAAUCUAAAAUAAAAGUUUGCAGACAGAUGGAAGGUGCUUCCAGCUACCACCACAUCCAAAGAAAAAGGAAUCCAGGAGCAUCCCCAUGUUGAGGACCUGAGUGACAACAGGAAACUGAACCCCAUCAAUAAUAGAUGUCUACCUCCCUACCCCACAAGCCAUGAAGUCUUCCACCACCAUCACCUCUGUCUUGCCCAGAUUCAUCUUCAGAUUCAGGAGAGACAGAACUGGGUGUCGCCAGCAUACUGAUGGCAUCUCACUCCAGAUCCCCACCCAAUCUUGACCAGUUGAACACAAGAAGUGACAAGAUGGAAUCCCAGGGAGCCCCAUGGGAAAGGUCCUGAAGGGAAGAUGAACAUUCAACCAUCACCACCCUAGGAGAGUGCAGAACCAGUUAAGAAAAUUCCUAUGAAAACCUACAUGAUCAAACAGAUGUGUUAUCAACACCUAAAGGUUAACUGUAUCAAACACUGCUGAAAGAUCUAAUCAGAGCAGCAGUGAAAUUUCCCCUGUUUAUCCCUAGGGGAAGAUCAACAACGGGUUGACGUGGUGUCCGGAAAAGCCCCAUCACUGUGCACGGGUGGACCUGGUGCCUGAGAGGCCUGCCAUUCAAAAGCAUGGGUUGACGUGGUGCCCGAGAGGCCUCCCAUUCAAAUGCAUGGGUUGACCCAGUAUCCAGGAGGCCUGCUAUUCAAAUGGAUGGGUUGAUGUGGAGUCCCAAAAGGUCCCAUUGCCAGGCCCGGGUUGACCUGGUGCCAGGGAGGCCUGCCAUUCAAAUACAUGGGUUGAGGUGGUGUCCAGAAAAGCCCCACUUCUGGGCCUGGGUUGACCUGGUGCCAGAGAGGCCUGCCAUUCAAAAUACAUGGGUUGAGGUGGUGUCUGGAAAAGCCCCAUUUCUGGGCCUGGGUUGACCUGGUGCCUGGGAGGCCUGCCAGUCAAAUACAUGGAUGGACAUAGUGUCUGGAAAAGCCUCAUUGCCAGGCCUGGGUUGACUUGGUGCCAUAGAGGCCUGCCAUUCAAAUGCCUGGGUUCAUGUGGUGUCCGGAAAAGCCCCACUGCCAGGUCUGGGUUGACCUGGUGCCUAAGAGGCCUGCCAUUCAAAUGCCUAGGGUUGACGUGGUGUCCAGAAAGGCCCCAUUCCCCAGGCACGGGUUGACCUGGUGCCAGAGAGGCCUGCCAUUCAGAUGCCUGGGUUGAUGUGGUGCCAGAAAAGCUUGCCAUUCAAAUGCCCAGGUUGAUGUGGUGUCCAGAAAGGCCCUGUCCCUGGGCCCGGGUUGACCUGGUGACCAAGAGGCUUCUUGUUCAAAUGCCUAGGUUGACCUAGUGCCAGGGAGGCCUGCCAUUGAAAUGCAUGGAUUGACUUGGUGUCCGAAAAAGCCCCAUUGCCAGGCCUGGGUUGACUUGGUGCCAGAGAGACCUGCCAUUCAAAUGCCCAGGUUGAUGUGGUGUCCAGAAAAGCCCCAUCAUCAGGCCUGGGUUGACCUGGUGACCAAGAGGCUUCUUGUUCAAAUGCCUGGGUUGACCUGGUGCCUGGGAGGCCUGCCAUUCAAAUGCAUGGGUUGACUUCAUGCCUGAUGGGCCUGCCAUUUAAAUGCAUGGAUUGACGUGAUGUCCAAAAAGCACCCAUUGCCAGGCGCAGGUUGACUUGGUGCCCAGGCAGCUUAUCAUUUAAGUCCAAGGGUUGAGGUGGUGUCUGGAAAAGCCCCAUUGCUGGGUGUGGGUUGACCUGGUGCCUAAGAUGCCUCCCACAGGAAUGAAUGGGUUGACCUGGUGUCCAAAAAGCCUCCCAUAGGAAUGAAUGGGUUGACCUGGUGCCCAGUCAGCACCUGGAAGUCCAUAGGGGUCAUGCAAAAUGCAUGCCCUGACCCUUCAAUCCAAGAGAAUGGAUCCAUUUGGUGGCU